rnacentral:rRNA from 1 species
CAGCAGCAGCCGCGGUAAUACGAAGGGGGCUAGCGUUGCUCGGAAUUACUGGGCGUAAAGGGAGCGUAGGCGGACAUUUAAGUCAGGGGUGAAAUCCCAGAGCUCAACUCUGGAACUGCCUUUGAUACUGGGUGUCUUGAGUGUGAUAGAGGUAUGUGGAACUCCGAGUGUAGAGGUGAAAUUCGUAGAUAUUCGGAAGAACACCAGUGGCGAAGGCGACAUACUGGAUCAUUACUGACGCUGAGGCUCGAAAGCGUGGGGAGCAAACAGGAUUAGAUACCCCAGUAGUCCCUGUCUCUUAUAC